rnacentral:lncRNA from 1 species
GUUUCUAACCCAACGAAGCGUGCGCCAGUCCAAGCCAAGAGCAGCCAGUUUCUUGAGGAGAAUGCUGUGGGAGACGGUGUCAAAAGCCUUGCUGAAGUCAAGGUAGACCACAUCCACAGCCUUUCCCUCGUCCACCCAGUGCGUCACUUUGUCAUAGAAGGAGAUCAGAAACUGUUAUGCUUUGUCACUGAGAUAACGAAGGGAUUUGACGUUUAUCACCUGGAAAAAGUAUAUGGCGUCAUUAAUCAGUGUAUUUACAACCAGAGAGAAGACUAUGACAAAACCGAUUUGGUGAAGUCUGGAAGACGUUUAUCCAUCUUGCAAAACCAUUGUUAUAUUUGGCAUAAUUGUUGGCAGUUUCUGCAGGAAAAAGCUUGAACUUGAAGACAACGGGUCCACCCACACAGCCCUUUCAAAGCAGUUAACUUUAAUCUGUCAGUAGUUUUCCUUGAGAACCAUUUUGGGAGUGGGAGGACUACGAAGGGAAGGUGCUUUUCUAAGUCUUUCACUCUCUCUCUCUCCCUCUACAGCCAGUCAUGCACGGUGAUAGCAGUUGUUCAUCCCUGGAGAGAAAUUUAAGUAUAUAACAAGAGUUUGAGACUUCUCUCUAGUCACACUCUAAUCUCUUUUUAACUAAUGCGCUUGAGCAUCUGUAACUGGGGAGAUUUCUGCCUGUGCCAGUUUUACACUGAGUCAAAUUCUCUGGUCUCUUCCUGUAAAAGAUGAUUUCGGAGUUGUCCGAACUCCUCCGAAAUCUGCGUGAGGCGUCCAUGGUCCAAGUCAGGUGUUACCAGUAUACGCUGGAUAUUCACUCUUCACAUUGAAGAUCCUUGAACCCAUUUAUCUUAGAGUUGCUUGUGCUUGAGAACAGAUAAAAUGUGUUGUGCUGAUCAGUCUGCCUUAAAAAGAGAGUGCCUCUUUUUUUUAGGCACUGGUCAUCUCGAUCUCUUUUUCCACAUCCGAUAAAGAGUUAGAACGGACACUCUGUUCUGCCUGUGAGAGGAGUAUUUAGAUUCAGGGAGGCCGCUCCUGAAAAAAAAAAUGAGAUCUUUUAGCUUGAGAAGGGAUUUAUUUCUAAUCUCAUGGCCUGUGAACUUUUGUAACUUAACAUUUAAUUUAAGUAUUAAAAGUCAAGUAGCUUUCUUGGUUUUCUAUUUCUUCCUUUAGCAUAGGCAAACAAAUCUCUCCUAUUCAGAGUGCACUGUACAAGUUAGUCAGGAGCGUGCUCUACUGUAUGGAGAGAGAGAGAGAACUUAAGGAGUAAUUAUUCAAAGUCCAGAAAUUAACUUGAGCUUGUUGUGGCUUCUCAGCAACUGUUUCUUCUUUCUAAUUGUUGUGAAACCACUGCUGAGAGAGAUCCAUAUAGUUGAUAUCCUCC